UCCUGUUGUGUGGCCCAGACAGGGCACUGUCUGUGGCCCCAGGGGUUGAGGACCCCUGGCUUUAACAACAGAAAGGUACCAUCUUACAGUUCUGGAGGCCAAAGUCUGAUAUCCAGGUGUCUGCAGGGUUGAUCCCUUCUGAGGCUACCCCAGUUACUGGAUUGGGAUCCACCCUCACUCAAUAUGGCCUCAGCUUAAUGAAAGACAUCUGCAGAGACCCUAUUUCUACUAAAAGCCACAUUCUGAGACUUCUCGUGGGCGUGAGUUUUUGAGAGACACUGUUCUGCUCCAUGCAGGGAGGGAAUUGGGAUCUGAAGACGUUGCAUUCGAGGUCUCGGGGCUCCUGAUGAGCAGCCUCGGCCUGACCUGGGGCAGGUGUGAUGUCUGCGGCUCACCAUCUCCACCCUGCCUGCUGUGGAAUCUCCACAACGACAGGUGCUUUGGAGGCCAGAGUGCAUGCGUACGGGCCCUGCACACGCUGAAUGUCACUGGGAACAAGGACACACCCCGCUUCCAGGAGAAGAUAGAACAUGUCGACCCCUUUUACCAUAUGACACAUUAUCAGACCAAACCAGAGCUCUUGGUUUUCGGAUCUGGGGAUGAAUUCUUUAGCACAGAUGGAACCAUGAACUUCUAUGAUCAACUGCCAGGAAGGAAAUACCUCAGGCUCUCGUUCUGUUGCCCAGGCUGGAGUUCAGUGGCAUGAUCUUGGCUCACUGCAGCCUCGAACUCACAGGCUUAGGUGAUCCUCCCACCUCAGCCUCCUCAGUAGCUGGGACUACAGAGCCAUCCCCAGUGCAGGACAUGCUAUUGACUUCCAUGAGACAAACACCUACUUGGAAAUCAGGUUUUUUCUGUACCUUUUGAAGGAGCAGGAAUUUCCCAGCAUUUCCUGGACAAAGACGGAGGCCACAUUCGCUGCAUCCUUUCCAGCAAGAUGUCAUUCUGAGAUUUUUGUCAUUCCUGGGCGUUAUGAGGACUGCCAAGGGACACAAUUCCAUGGGAGGAAAGUUUUCUUCUAAGCUGCAAGCCAGCUCUGGCUUCUGGAGUUUCUCCUUAGGAUUGCAAGACAGUAGUUCCCUGUCCUUUAGGUCUUCUCCAGAAAUACCUUAAAAUAGCAAAUAAAAUAAGAUAUAAGCAAACAAAA
ensembl:lncRNA SCAT1 S-phase cancer associated transcript 1